UACGGAGGGGGCUAGCGUUGUUCGGAAUUACUGGGCGUAAAGCGCACGUAGGCGGCUUUGUAAGUUAGAGGUGAAAGCCCGGGGCUCAACUCCGGAAUUGCCUUUAAAACUGCAUCGCUAGAAUUGUGGAGAGGUAAGUGGAAUUCCGAGUGUAGAGGUGAAAUUCGUAGAUAUUCGGAAGAACACCAGUGGCGAAGGCGACUUACUGGACACAUAUUGACGCUGAGGUGCGAAAGCGUGGGAAGCAAACAGG
rnacentral:rRNA from 1 species